rnacentral:rRNA from 1 species
UCGAGGAUCUUCGGCAAUGGGCGCAAGCCUGACCGAGCGACGCCGCGUGUGCGAUGAAGGCCUUCGGGUUGUAAAGCACUGUCGAGGGGGAGGAAAGCCCGCAAGGGUUUGACCUAUCCCUGGAGGAAGCACGGGCUAAGUUCGUGCCAGCAGCCGCGGUAAGACGAACCGUGCAAACGUUGUUCGGAAUCACUGGGCUUAAAGGGCGCGUAGGCGGGUUGCCAAGUCAGGGGUGAAAUCUUUCGGCCCAACCGGAAAAGGGCCCCUGAUACUGGCAGUCUUGAGGGAGGUAGGGGUCGAUGGAACUUCCGGUGGAGCGGUGAAAUGCGUAGAUAUCGGAAGGAACGCCGGUGGCGAAAGCGAUCGACUGGACCUCUUCUGACGCUGAGGCGCGAAAGCCAGGGGAGCAAACG